UCGGGGUGGAAAUUUUUUUAUAUGGUGAAUCAUGAUAACUUUACGAAUCGCAUAGUCCUGUACUGGCGAUAGUUCAUUCAAAUAUCUGCCCUAUCAACUUUCGAUGGUAGUAUAGAGGACUACCAUGGUGGUAACGGGUAACGGAGAAUCAGGGUUUGAUUCCGGAGAAGGAGCCUGAGAAACGGCUACUACUUCCAAGGAAGGCAGCAGGCGCGCAAAUUACCCAAUCCCGACACGGGGAGGUAGUGACAAAAAAUAACAAUACCGGUCUUAUUUAAGUCUGGUAAUUGGAAUGAGUACAAUCUAAAACCUUUAACGAGUAUCAAUUGGAGGGCAAGUCUGGUGCCAGCAGCCGCGGUAAUUCCAGCUCCAAUAGCAUAUAUUAAAGUUGCUGCAGUUAAAAAGCUCGUAGUUGGAUUUUGAUGUUAUUUAUUAUGACCCGCCUUGUAUAAGGUGUGUUUGUUGUGAUAAAUACAUCUCCUUACUAGACUUUCAUGAUUGCACUUUAUUGAGUGAUCAUUUCAUCUUGAUUCGUUAGGGUGAGUGAUGAGUAGACCUACUGGGUUUGAGAUUGUGGAUGAACUUCUUUGGAGGUUGGUUCUGCUUAGGUUCAGUAACUAUUCAUUAGAAAUCUAGUUCAUUUACUUUGAGUAAAUUAGAGUGUUCAAGGCAAGCAAAUUUGUUUCUGCAAUGAAUACUAUUAGCAUGGGAUAAUGGAACAGGACACGUAUUCUAGUUUUCCGUUGGUUUCUAGAAUUUUUAGUCUCUUUUCGGAGAGGCGAAGUGUAAUGAUUAAAAGGGACAGUUGGGGGCAUUCGUAUUUCAUUGUCAGAGGUGAAAUUCUUGGAUUUAUGAAAGACGAACUUCUGCGAAAGCAUUUGUCAAAGAUGUUUUCAUUAAUCAAGAACGAAAGUUAGGGGAUCGAAGACGAUCAGAUACCGUCGUAGUCUUAACCAUAAACUAUGCCGACCAGGGAUUGGAAGAUGUAUUAUCCUAUGUUUAACCGUAGGAA
rnacentral:rRNA from 1 species